rnacentral:lncRNA from 1 species
GUCUUCACAUUUUCUGGCUUUGGUGCAGGUGACCGGAAAUUCUUUGGGUAACCAUACAAUUUAUAGCAAUAAGGCCUUAUGUGCCCUUUCCUACCACAAUAGUGACAUCUCCAGUUCCUUCUUCUAUAUUUAGUUCUUGACCAGUUAUUCCGAUGUGGAGGAGGAUGUUGAGGCAUCGAUCCAGUCUGUGCAGAAGGCUUAGGUUUGGGUUCUAACCAAGUGUCAGUUCCCUGGUGUGUGGGAGGAUGUGGUGGUAAAAAGCCAGCACUGACAGGAAAAGUCUUCUCAAUGGGAGUACUGAUUGUAGCUUUGUUGUAUCCCAUUUGUUGAUCAACA